rnacentral:rRNA from 1 species
GAUGAACGCUGGCGGCGUGCCUAAUACAUGCAAGUCGAGCGAACAGAUGAGGAGCUUGCUCCUCUGACGUUAGCGGCGGACGGGUGAGUAACACGUGGAUAACCUACCUAUAAGACUGGGAUAACUUCGGGAAACCGGAGCUAAUACCGGAUAAUAUAUUGAACCGCAUGGUUCAAUAGUGAAAGACGGUUUUGCUGUCACUUAUAGAUGGAUCCGCGCCGCAUUAGCUAGUUGGUAAGGUAACGGCUUACCAAGGCAACGAUGCGUAGCCGACCUGAGAGGGUGAUCGGCCACACUGGAACUGAGACACGGUCCAGACUCCUACGGGAGGCAGCAGUAGGGAAUCUUCCGCAAUGGGCGAAAGCCUGACGGAGCAACGCCGCGGGAGUGAUGAAGGUCUUCGGAUCGUAAAACGCUGUUAUUAGGGAAGAACAAAUGUGUAAGUAACUAUGCACGUCUUGACGGUACCUAAUCAGAAAGCCACGGCUAACUACGU